AAGUCGUAACAAGGUAACCGUAGGUGAACCUGCGGUUGGAUCAUUAACAAAUAAUUUAGGCCCCUGGCUGCCUCAAAAGGGCGAAGGGGGGAAACCUAAACAUUUGUGUGCACCAUAUCUGUCCUUGGCAGUUCGAGAGUCCUGGGUCGCGUAACUGCCUCAGGUACCUACCGAGGCUUUCCUCUCGGGGUUUGCCAAAGUUGGGCUGCCGCUUCUAGAACAAACCUUUUGUAAAAUAUUUUUGCCUGAAUUUGUUUGAUCUUUAUGAUUGAAUUUAAAUACAACUUUUGACAACGGAUCUCUUGGCUCUC
rnacentral:misc_RNA from 1 species